AACGAACGCUGGCGGCAGGCCUAACACAUGCAAGUCGAGCGAAGCCUUCGGGCUUAGCGGCGGACGGGUGAGUAACGCGUGGGAACGUGCCCUUUGCUACGGAAUAGCCCCGGGAAACUGGGAGUAAUACCGUAUGUGCCCUUCGGGGGAAAGAUUUAUCGGCAAAGGGUCGGCCCGCGUUGGAUUAGGUAGUUGGUGGGGUAAUGGCCUACCAAGCCGACGAUCCAUAGCUGGUUUGAGAGGAUGAUCAGCCACACUGGGACUGAGACACGGCCCAGACUCCUACGGGAGGCAGCAGUGGGGAAUCUUAGACAAUGGGGGAAACCCUGAUCUAGCCAUGCCGCGUGAUCGAUGAAGGCCUUAGGGUUGUAAAGAUAGAGAAGUGGGGAAGAUAAUGACUGUACCCACAGAAGAAGCCCCGGCUAACUCCGUGCCAGCCGCCGCCGUAACAC
rnacentral:rRNA from 1 species